rnacentral:rRNA from 1 species
UACGAAGGGGGCGAGCGUUGUUCGGAUUUACUGGGCGUAAAGGGCGCGCAGGCGGCGAUCUUUGUCAGGGGUGAAAGCCCCGGGCUUAACCUGGGAACUGCGCUUGGGACGGGAUUGCUGGAGACCGGGAGAGGAGAGUGGAAUUCCCAGUGUAGAGGUGAAAUUCGUAGAUAUUGGGAAGAACACCGGUGGCGAAGGCGGCUCUCUGGACCGGAUCUGACGCUGAAGCGCGAAAGCGUGGGGAGCUAACAGG